UCAUGAACAACGCAAAAUAUCAACGUUCCUUCAAAAAGCAUUCCUACGAGGUUACUACUUCCAAGCGGUGAUCCAUGAUGUACGGAAAUCGUCUAUUGGAAUGGAGAUCAAUACAACUGUAGUCGAUCUUGGGUGCAGUGCCAGUCUCCCUCUUUUGAGGUUGUGAUUGGGACUGCAAUGAUUGACCACACAU
rnacentral:sRNA from 1 species